CACAAACUCACCUUGCAGCCCUUACACAUACAAACAUAGAUUCACACAAUGCAUUCCUUAAACACAUCAGGACAUCCCCCCCCCCACACACACACCCCUGUGAACAAACUCAUUGGUGGAACAUGAAGGUGGAGCCUGGGACCCAGACCUUGAGCUGUGUAAAGGGCCCUCAAAAAAAUGGAGCUGCUUCCCGUUCUCCCA